GUGUCGGGCUGCGCUGGUCGGGGCGGGUUCUCUGUGAGGACCCGCAUCCCUGGCGUUCCAGCCGGGGAGGAGGCGGGCCGACCCGCGGCGUGCCUCUUCGUGCCUCUUCGUGCCUCUUCGUGCGAGCUCCGGCCGCGAGAGGAUGGCCUCUCCACAGGCCGGCUGGGGAGGCCUGUGAGAGUCUGGUGUUUGCCCUGACACUUCCCCUCUGCAGACUGCCAUUUCUUCAGCAUCCCUUUGUUAUCAGGUGCCCCAAAUGAAUUUUCCUUCUUAAGAAUCACAGAAUCGUCACAGUUGGAAAAGACCUCUAAGAUCACCAAGUCCAACUAUCAACCCGGAAAAAACCCACCAUGCCCACUACAGCAUGUCCUGAAGUGCCACAUCUACACAUUAUUUGAAAACCUCCAGAGAUGGUGACUCAGCCACCUCCCUGAGUAGCCUGUUCCAGUGCCUGUACUCUUUGAGUAAAGAAAUUCUUCCUAAUUCCUAAGGGCUCAAAAAAAUUAAUUCUGGAGAAUAUGCUUUGAUUUUCCUCCUUACUAAUUUCAACCUAGUUUUUUAUACAUAAUGCUAUUCAUCAACUUCAAAUUAUAAUUUUGAGGAGUACCUUAUUUUUGUUAUAGCUGUUCUUCAGUAACUUACACUUUCCUCCAGUGUGCUAUUUGGUUAUUCCUUUAAUACAUUUACCUAUCUACAGCUCUUUUAAUUAUGUUAGACUCUUCUGGAAUGUCUUUAAAGUUUUCCUCAAAGACUCUGAAUCAUAUAUAUUAAUCGCCUUCUCUGACACUCAGUAUUUCUCUUGCUCUAGCAAAUUAGGCUGAACACAGGUUUUGAAAACUUCUCUUUUCACUUUUGUUUGAGGGAUUUUUUUUCAACCUCACGUUAGAGGUUUAAUUUUGCAUUAGUAAGAAGUAUUAUGUACAAGUACAGAAGCUUAGGGCCACAGGUAGCUAUCUUCUUUUCUCCCAGGAGAAAAAUGCAAGCAUUGUGCUGACUGCUACUGAUUUAUAGAACACAAAAGCCUCAUUCAUUCUCAUUUCAAGGUCAUAGCUAUGUGAUCUUCUUGACAAGUUUGAACAACUUGCAGAUAAGCAUCAAGAAGUCCUCAUGAAUAACAAUGACUAAACUGUCAAGACAGUAAUAGUAUGAUUGAAGAGAGCAUCCUCUAAAUGCAACAUGUACUAAGGAAUGUGAAGCAAACUUCCAUGCCUUACAGUUGUGAUAAAAUGGUAUGUGCCAUUUUUAAUGUAAUGGUGGAUUACUGAUUGGAAACAAGUAUUAAAUGAGUGGGUUAUUUAGCCAAAAAGAGAGAGGUUUCGACAUUUUUAAUAAAGCAGAGUGAUGUGCAGGAAGCUUAGGGAAUAUAAUCUCUUUCUCUAGCUCCUUUGUUCCUCUGUGGGAGGCCACCGUAUAGCAUUCAAGGCAAUUCCUUGAUGCUGCUUAGUUUCACACAUGCAGAUUGACAGGGUGCACACUUUGGCACAAUUUUCUAUUUCUGAUCAGCAUUACAAAUAGCAGAGGUGGCAAAGAUACAAACAGAUCUAUACUGGCAGUAUAACUAGAGUAAUUAUUCAGGGAUCUGUACUGCAAACACAUUUAGUCCUUUACUUUCAUGUGGAGUUCAAAAGGCUGUGAAAAUCUCCUGGUAUGCUGCACAGUUGUUCCAUGCUGCACAUGUUGAUAAUAAUGUGGUGUGGUACCAUGUGAGCCUGAGACAAUAAGAUACAUCCACCAAGGUUCUAAAAAGUGAUAAACUGGGUUUAUUUAAUACCUAGAUAAAUUUCAUUGAAGCAGGACCCAUGAAAAUUGGAUGGUAAAAAUUCCCAUUCCCAGUAUGGCUAGGAAUGCCAUGUAUACUAAUUAAGCAAACAGAAACAAGAAACCAGUUUGUAUGUAUUUUUGAGGUGCAUACAAUUCACAACAGGACAGGUUUCCAGUCUCAGUGCCAGAUAAGCCUAGCCAAAAAGGAUAAUUGAUUGGUUUUAUGCACCAUUGCACGGUGUCUAAACGCAUUCACAAUCUAUGGUUGACUGCAUUUUGAAUAUUGCCAAAAUUAACACACCCCCCUCACUGUUGAACAAGACCAUAAUAUUUAUAUUGACAAUUGAGAACUCUGAGUAAUACAUAGUCCCAUCACGUCUUUUCUAUAAAAUUGAGAUGCUUUUAUAUCCAAAAUAAAAAACAGAUUGCGCAGUCCAAAUAGUUAGGAUUUUGUCAGCAUUAUUCAAUUAAAACUGCUUAUUUGUGUAAGUUGUGUCUUUCUCAUAUAAGUAUGAAAAUACAUUCUCACAGAAUGGACUUGGAUUCCAUUCAACUUCCAGUUUUUCUUGUAUGUUCUUAUAGGUAGCUAUCUGCUCUCUCAAAAUGAGAUAUAAAGGAAGAAGCUGCACAAUUAAGAACUUUAAAGACUAACAGUGAAGUCCUGAAGGCAAUCAGGGCAUUGAGGAUAGAGGUGUCAUGCUGUGUUGUUGUCAGAAGGGCUCAAAGGCACUUGUCCACACUUGACACACUUGACUAUUCUGCAAGGGCUGUGAGGUCUGACUGCCUUGCCGAGGUGACUGAGGAUGCUUUGAGGUUGUGAAGCACCAUUUUUAAUUUUCAUGGGAAUUGUCUCAGGUACCAGUUCCAAAUAUUCAGUUGUGUGAUUUUUUAAGUUCUAUAAGAAUUCUCCAGAACUCCUUUCUAACUUUGUUGGAGCUAUUUCUAAAAUAUUAAUUGGGACUUCUCUGGUUCUUUUAGGCUGUAUGGGAGAAGAACAGGGAAAAUUGUUCAGGACAUGUUCUUUCCUUUUGGCACACACAUUGUAUGCCAAAGCUGUUUAUGUAUGUGGUUAGCACACUAAUGGAGAGGGAAAAAAACACCUAACCAAAAAACAAACAAACAAAAAAACAAAACCCCACAAAACAAAACAAAAAAACCUCACAACCAAAAACAACACAAAAAACCCACCAACAAACCAAACUAGAAAGCCAUUUGCAAUGAAUGGCAGUUUAGUUUGUUCUUAUUUGUGGUGGGGUUUUUUUGCUAAUGAUUAUUUGGGGGAAAAAAACCAGUAUUUAGCUACAAUCCCAUCUAUCCAGGAGUUAAAUAUUCAGCACUGCUUGCUGGUCACCUAGUGUUAAAAACAUCAGAUUUACUGGCAGUUAUUAAUGUUCUCAUAGUAGGUGGUUUAGACUGUUCUGAGAGUUAAGAUGGUACUGUAUCAAAACCUUAGAGAUACAUAUUCAACUUCAGUAAAUUCCCAACAUGCACUGGCAGACACAGGAAAUCUUGUAGAAAACCAUCCCACUGCAGAUUAGCUGUUAUUUUAUUCCUGGCCCUACCAAAUAUUUUAAUCAAGGCAUUUACAUAUAUAAAGUGUAAUUUCAGAAAAUCUGCACAUUUUUUGUUGUCUUUCAAGCUGAGACUAGAUUUAGAAGCUAUUCAGACAUCGACAGUUAUAAGCAAGUGUCUAAUGUCAGCUUCCAAAACACCUAGCAUAAACCAGGUUUCUCAGUCAAUCAGAUUACUAAACAUUAAUUCUUGGGACUUUUAAAACACUUACUAGAACUGCACUUUGUCCCAGAGCACCAAAGGGAAACUGCAAUACUGCAGAAUUUUUUUACAUAGUUUGAGUAAUUCCUCUGCAGAGUCCAUACUGGAUUCAAAUUGUGCUCUGCUACGAUGACUUGUUACUUGCUCGAGUUCCCUACCACUUGUAUAAACAUAUUCUCAAGUAUUCUUCUCCCCAGUACAGUUUUGUGAACUUGGACAUGUAUCUUUGUUAGUCAUGGGGCCAAAUACUGCCAAUAUGUAUUGGCAUACAUACCAUGCCUCUGCAUAUCAUUGCAAGAUAAUAAUAUGAAAAAUGAUAGGGUGGGCGUAAUAAAAGUUUAGUAUGAACAUUACAGUGAAAUCACCAUGUAGAAAAACCUCAAAAGUCAAUCACAACUAUGUUGUUUUUGAGAAUCCUGAAGUUCAUUAAGCUGCAUCUUCACGAACCUUCUCCAGCCCUUCAUCAUUUAGUAUUACCUGCUCCCUUCUUCUCAGGCAUGAAGGCAAGAAAGAAGAAACAGAAUCAGAAACAGCUAUGAAAGAUAACUAUUCUAUUUUCAUUCUGCUGAUAAUUGGCAGUAACAUAACAAAUUUAUGAAUGUGAUUAUAUGAAAGUAAGAGGAAAACAGUGCUCUUGAUCUAGGUUUGUUCCAGGCCUAAAUCCUAUUUCCUCAGCAGGACAGGAUUUUAAUGGUGGCUUUUGCCAUGUACACAGAUUCAAGCCAAUUGAAAAAGAAUCUAUUAAUUGCCUUUGAAAGACUGCUACAGUGUCCAGAUGUCAUUUGAUCCUAACUCUUUUAUUAGCUUUAGCUACUUUUUAGUACCUUUAGCUUAGGUACAGUACUGAGUAUAUGGUAAUCAUAAGACAAUAAGAAGAGUAGUAACAUAGUGUACAAGUAAUUAAUUCACACAGCUUAGGUCAGUAGAGCUUUAGUAGACUGAACAGAAGUUACAGGAUCCCAAAAUAUCACAUCAGUGAGACAGGUAAGUGCAGAAGGCAUGAAGAAACAAUUUCAGUGCCAGGUAGGCAAUAAACAUAAUUUAUCCCAUGUUUAGAUUAAGAAUGCAUGAUCCAUGUUACAUAAAUUAAGACUUUUUGUAUGAUCAAGAUAAUAAUUUUCACAGUUGUGGUACUGUGAUUGCACUCCUUUUCCCUUGAAUCAAUGUACCUGCAAGUUCUUACAUACGUAAACUGAAAUGCUUGUUCAGGCUUUAGUUUUAUUUUGUAUUUGCAUAUAAUCAAUAAUUUGCAUUUAUUUCAUAUUACAGUAUUAAUUCACCACAGGAUGUGUAUUUGCCAUGUUACAUCUUCAUGGUUUUAACUGAACAAUUAGGUUAUUACACUUUUUUUGUUGUUACUGGGAACACCUGUGCCCUCUAAACACAUUCCCUGAACCCUCAUGGUUCCACCACGGGUAGUGUUUAAGGGUCAGCAAUGGACACAGACCUUCCAAAGUCUGAAGUAAUUCAUUUAGAACUGCUUUUGUACAUCUCUGCUUGGCAUAGUGUGGGAUCAUGGAAAUACAGCCCCAAUGCCAACAUAAUAAAAAGACAAUGCCAGAAGUUUACAUCUGAACAUCACCUUUGGCAGCCAUCACAACAAAAUAUUUGAAAAUUUAAAGUUAAGGGAUUUUUUCAAAAUCUGUAGGUUAUGAAGCCAGCCCAGUGACAAAGAAUUCUCUGAAUUAAUAAGCACACUUCCAUCAGACAUCAGUAAGAACAGUAUUGACUCCUACAGGUAGAGAGAGCUAUGUAAACAUCCUUUUAGAAACAGUUAUUACUUAAAGACUAAGAUGGUCAAUUUUGUAAGGGAGCAGUGUUGAAAGUUUUAAACAUACAUAAUAUGCUUUUGUGAAAAAUACCAAUAUUAGUAACUUCAUUUCAAGUACAGAAUACAGAAGUUUUACUUACUGGACUAACAGCAACACUGUUACAGUAACUUCUCCAUUAAAAUAUCUCCCCAUGAAGCCUCAGCUUGCACAUUAUAGAAGACCAAAAAUGCCAGUUAUCAUGUUCCGGGAAGCAUGUGUGAUCAUAGCAAUGGAGUUUUUUUUAAAAUAUACGUUAGGACAGAUACAAACCAUUGUGGAAGUGCACCUGCCACAUUUUUAAACAUUAGGAUGUAACUUUCUGAGACCAGAGUAAUAGGAUAAUUUGAAGUACUGUUGGUUACAUAGCUACAGAAGAGCUGCAACAGGCAAGAAUUUCUUUUCUGACUGCUGAUCAGACUUGGAAGCUGAACUGCAGGAACACUCCAGCAGGCAGAAUGGCCAGAAAAUUAAGAGUUGGUUAUGUUGAAAUGAAAUAUACAUCCAAAUGGUGCUGGUAAGACUGAGGAUUUAUGUAUCUGUUGGAACACUUCUCCAUCAGGCCUGUCUCAUUUCUGGUGAUGGUGUUAUUUAUUCUCCAGGGUAGUGCUCUGAUGUCAAAUCAGACUGAAGCUGCAUUUGAAUGAGCUGGUUCAUCCCUGUGGUGCAGCCUGCUGGGACAAUUCUGCCAUAGGCUGUGUGUUGACUAUUUUGCCUUCUUCCCUUACACUAAUCAUUGUGCAAUAUAUACUAAUUUAUAUUACAUAUAAUUCUAGAAAAACAAAUAAACUCAAAUAUCUUGGUUUUAGGCAGUAGUCUAACCAUUCAAGUUAAUCACUAGCUUAAAAUUGAAAGUAGUCUGAACUUGUAUUAUUUAUUGUCAAAUAAAAACAUUCUCCCAAAAUUCUGCUCCAGAACUUGUUAGGGUCACUGUGAUGUCAUCAGUGUCAUCAGCAAGAUUAAAAGUAUGAGCAAGAGAAGUCAUUCAAAUGCCUCGCUUUAGACAGUGGGGAAUAUUCGAAACAUCUGCACAGUGCUUGCAGAUACCAGACCUAUGGGAGAGCUGCACUAUUCUGGAGCAAUAGCUGGAAUGCAGGCGGGAUAUCCUGCUGAUCUUUCCUCAGGCUCCUGGGUUUCACCUGGUAAACACUGAUAAAAUAUUUCCGGUAACCAAAAAAAAAAAACCAACAAACAAAAACCAAACAAAAAGAAAAAUGCAUUUAUCUACAGUAUUUUGCACUUACUUCACGCCUUCCCAAGGCAAAUUUAUUUACAACCUCAAAAGCAAGUUAAUUCUACUAGUUUCUAUGCAGCAUUAGUGUAACACAGGCAGUCUUAAAUUUGUCCCAGAUAGUUAUCUUGUUUUUGAUGGAUGUUCUCUAGGCAUGCAGAACUGUACAAACAUGUGAAAUGGAAACUAAAUCUGCAGUAGGAUCUGUUUCUUAGGGGGGGGUGGACUAGAUAGCCUCCAAAGAUCCCUUCCAACAUAAAAAGAGCUGAUUCAAUAAAAUGAAAUUUUUAAAAAUACCUUUUCUGGAAAACUCAUGCAGCACGGUACCUUUGAUGAUAACUAUUUAAUUAGAGAAUAUAGAAAAGGAAAGAAAUGCGCAAGCACCAUACUGCAGUGGUGCAUAUUGUGUCUAUUAAUUCAAAAAAGUGGUGAGUUCUAUCUUGCUAUUUUAUUUUUCAUUGUUAAAUCUUUUUAUCUUUAAAUAAAUGUGCUAUGAAAAUGCA